GCGGCUAACCAAUUGAAAUGGUUGUACUACAAACUGCUGUGCGGGAUUGACCGUGGAUAUAGUCAAGUUAGAGUCUACUAGACCGGAUUUCGUCGAGACGCGGUUACUUUCUUUCGUGAGACAGAUUUUUUUAUAAGUCGCUAUUUUGUAUCGUCGCGCACGACCCUGGACCAGUUCGUUCGAUUCGCCGCAGAACAAAGUCGCCGUGGUCCGAACUCCGCGUAUCGCCGCGGUUUUACGCGGGCCGUUCCUCCACCACCCCUACAAUAAACUGUACUAAAGUUGUAAUCGCCAUUUUGUACCACUAUUGUGUUUUGUUUAUUCUGUUCAAGACUAUUUACGACGUUCACGCAUCAAACCCAAAAACACCAACUCUCGGGUACGUAAUGUCGUAACUAGUGCGGGCGUUUUAUAUACCUACUGACCAAUGACCAUGCUGUUCUGUACGCAAUGCGUUGCCCGCAUGCGGCGAAAUACAAGCUAUUUUGUUUUUCCCGGCAUGCGUGCAAACCAGCUAGGACACGGCGUUAUUGUUUUCCUUCGGGCGCGAAGUCAGUCUUUAUUGUUGCACAUGUCGCGCCCGCCGAGUGCAGCGGUGCUUACUCCAGUCGAGCAGCCACUUGUUGAAUGACCGUCUAAUGUCUUUGGCAACCAUAAUAUAGUGGUACCUACAAUCCGUACAUUGCAAUUGGAUUUUUGCAUACCAAUAUGCUCUAUGCCUGUAAAACGCAACGGAGAUUGUGAACAAAGAGUAUUUCAGAAUUGAGUAGCAGAGAGAUGGGUUCUUGUAGAAAUGAUUGAUUUAAAGGACGAUGCACUCAAAUUUGCCAGUAAAAACCAAUUCAGAUAAAUUAUCUAUGAGUACUUACAAUCAAGUUUUGUAAAUAUGGAAAAUCCAGCAGUGGUUGGAAAAGAAAAGUACCUAUUCAAUGAAGAAAAAUUUGUGUAAACUAAAAAGAAAAACUUAUUAAUGAUGAUGAAGAUAUUGUGGAUUCAAAAUAAUUCUCUUGUUGAAUCUGAAGAAAGAUUUUACACAAACUUGCAACCAUGAUCUACCACUGCGAUAUUGCCACCAACACUACCACCUCUAUUAAUUAUAAGAGCAUAU